UACGUAGGGGGCAAGCGUUGUCCGGAAUUAUUGGGCGUAAAGAGCUCGUAGGCGGCUUGUCGCGUCGGCUGUGAAAACCUGGGGCUCAACCCCGGGCCUGCAGCCGAUACGGGCAAGCUAGAAUUCGGUAGGGGAGACUGGAAUUCCUGGUGUAGCGGUGAAAUGCGCAGAUAUCAGGAGGAACACCGGUGGCGAAGGCGGCAUCCUGGACCAAUAUUGACGCUGAGGAGCGAAAGCCAGGGGAGCAAACGGG
rnacentral:rRNA from 1 species